GCAUCGGUAGCUCAAUGGAUAGAGUACUUGGCUUCGGACCAAGUGGUUAGGGGUUCGAGUCCCUUCCGGUGCG
rfam:Chlamydiae bacterium RIFCSPHIGHO2_01_FTLL_44_39 rifcsphigho2_01_scaffold_4675, whole genome shotgun sequence.